rnacentral:rRNA from 1 species
GUUAUAAAUUAAUUUUAAAUUUACCAGAGUACUACGAAUAAAAAAUUUAAAACUUAAAGGGCAUGGCGGUGUUUUAACCUCUCAGGGGAACCUGUCUCAUAAUCGACAAUCCACGUUAAACCUAACCCUUUAUGGUAAUUCAGCCUGUAUACCGUUGUCGUCAGGUAACUUCUUAAAAUAUAAUAGUUAGCUAGAAAAUUUUGUUAAUUAA